rnacentral:piRNA from 1 species
UGGGACAUGAAUGUUAUGUUUCUGAGC